UGCCAGCAGCCGCGGUAAUACGGAGGGUGCAAGCGUUGUUCGGAUUUACUGGGCGUAAAGAGCGCGUAGGCGGCUUCAUAAGUUAAGGGUGAAAUCCCGGGGCUUAACUCCGGAACUGCUCUUAAAACUGUGGAGCUAGAGACAAUCAGAGGUGGGUGGAAUUCCAGGUGUAGAGGUGAAAUUCGUAGAUAUCUGGAGGAACACCGGUGGCGAAGGCGGCCCACUGGGAUUGUUCUGACGCUGAGGCGCGAAGGCGUGGGUAGCGAACGGGAUUAGAUA
rnacentral:rRNA from 1 species